AUGAUGUUCAGAGACCGAACGUCUCAUAUAGCACACACACAUUCAUUACCAACCACUCACUAUCCCCCCAUGCUGAAUGUGAUGCACUGUUCAGGGUUCAGUCAGUGCAGUGGCCUAUCUGGGCAAAACCAAGGAAGGGACCAUUUGAAGCAUCUUACAGGGGUAAACCAAGGAAGGGACCAUUUGAAGCACAUUACAGGGGUAAACCAAGGAAGGGACCAUUUGAAGCAUCUUACAGGGGUAAACCAAGGAAGGGUCCAUUUGAAGCAUCUUACAGGGGUAUUUCAAGGAAGGGACCAUUUGAAGCAUCUUACAGGGGUAAACCAAGGAAGGGACCAUUUGAAGCACAUUACAGGGGUAAACCAAGGAAGGGACAAUUUGAAGCAUCUUACAGGGGUAUUUCAAGGAAGGGACCAUUUGAAGCAUCUUACAGGGGUAUUUCAAGGAAGGGACCAUUUGAAGCAUCUUACAGGGGUAAACCAAAGAAGGGACCAUUUCAAGCACAUUACAGGGGUAAACCAAGGAAGGGACCAUUUGAAGCACAUUACAGGGGUAAUCCAAGGAAGGGUCCAUUUGAAGCACAUUACAGGGGUAAACCAAGGAAGGGUCCAUUUGAAGCACAUUACAGGGGUAAACCAAGGAAGGGACCAUUUGAAGCACAUUACAGGGGUAAUCCAAGGAAGGGUCCAUUUGAAGCACAUUACAGGGGUAAACCAAGGAAGGGACCAUUUGAAGCAUCUUACAGGGGUAAACCAAGGAAGGGACCAUUUGAAGCACAUUACAGGGGUAAUCCAAGGAAGGGUCCAUUUGAAGCACAUUACAGGGGUAAACCAUGGAAGGGACCAUUUGAAGCAUCUUACAGGGGUAAACCAAGGAAGGGACCAUUUGAAGCACAUUACAGGGGUAAACCAAGGAAGGGUCCAUUUGAAGCAUCUUACAGGGGUAAACCAAGGAAGGGUCCAUUUGAAGCACUGUACAGAGGGAUGUCUGACUACAGCAAAGAAAAUAAACACCAAACCCCUCAACCUUCAAAGUUAUCAUGACUUAAAGGUGCUACACCCCCAAAACCCAAUUUCUCCGUAA
rnacentral:lncRNA from 1 species